UGAAGGGCGUGCUAAUCUGCGAUAAGCGCCGGUAAGGUGAUAUGAACCGUUAUAACCGGCGAUACCCGAAUGGGGAAACCCAGUGUGACUCGUCACACUAUCAUUAACUGAAUCCAUAGGUUAAUGAGGCGAACCGGGGGAACUGAAACAUCUAAGUACCCCGAGGAAAAGAAAUCAACCGAGAUUCCCCCAGUAGCGGCGAGCGAACGGGGAGGAGCCCAGAGCCUGAAUCAGCAUGUGUGUUAGUGGAAGCGUCUGGAAAGGCGCGCGAUACAGGGUGACAGCCCCGUACACAAAAGCGCAUGUGCUGUGAGCUCGAUGAGUAGGGCGGGACACGUGGUAUCCUGUCUGAAUAUGGGGGGACCAUCCUCCAAGGCUAAAUACUCCUGACUGACCGAUAGUGAACCAGUACCGUGAGGGAAAGGCGAAAAGAACCCCGGCGAGGGGAGUGAAAAAGAACCUGAAACCGUGUACGUACAAGCAGUGGGAGCACAGGUUUACCUGUGUGACUGCGUACCUUUUGUAUAAUGGGUCAGCGACUUAUAUUCUGUAGCAAGGUUAACCGAAUAGGGGAGCCGGAGGGAAACCGAGUCUUAAUUGGGCGUUAAGUUGCAGGGUAUAGACCCGAAACCCGGUGAUCUAGCCAUGGGCAGGUUGAAGGUUGGGUAACACUAACUGGAGGACCGAACCGACUAAUGUUGAAAAAUUAGCGGAUGACCUGUGGCUGGGGGUGAAAGGCCAAUCAAACCGGGAGAUAGCUGGUUCUCCCCGAAAGCUAUUUAGGUAGCGCCUCGUGAAUUCAUCUCCGGGGGUAGAGCACUGUUUCGGCUAGGGGGCCAUCCCGGCUUACCAACCCGAUGCAAACUGCGAAUACCGGAGAAUGUUAUCACGGGAGACACACGGCGGGUGCUAACGUCCGUCGUGAAGAGGGAAACAACCCAGACCGCCAGCUAAGGUCCCAAAGUCAUGGUUAAGUGGGAAACGAUGUGGGAAGGCCCAGACAGCCAGGAUGUUGGCUUAGAAGCAGCCAUCAUUUAAAGAAAGCGUAAUAGCUCACUGGUCGAGUCGGCCUGCGCGGAAGAUGUAACGGGGCUAAACCAUG
rnacentral:rRNA from 1 species